rnacentral:rRNA from 1 species
UACGAAGGGGGCUAGCGUUGCUCGGAAUCACUGGGCGUAAAGCGCACGUAGGCGGAUUGUUAAGUCAGGGGUGAAAUCCUGGAGCUCAACUCCAGAACUGCCUUUGAUACUGGCGAUCUCGAGUCCGGGAGAGGUGAGUGGAACUGCGAGUGUAGAGGUGAAAUUCGUAGAUAUUCGCAAGAACACCAGUGGCGAAGGCGGCUCACUGGCCCGGUACUGACGCUGAGGUGCGGAAAGCGUGGGGAGCAAACAGG